CAGUAGCCGCGGGAACACGAAGGGUGCAAGCGUUAAUCGGAAUUACUGGGCGUAAAGCGUGCGUAGGCGGUGAGUUAAGUCUGCUGUGAAAUCCCCGGGCUCAACCUGGGAAUGGCAGUGGAUACUGGCUCGCUAGAGUGUGUCAGAGGAUGGUGGAAUUCCCGGUGUAGCGGUGAAAUGCGUAGAGAUCGGGAGGAACAUCAGUGGCGAAGGCGGCCAUCUGGGACAACACUGACGCUGAGGCACGAAAGCGUGGGGAGCAAACAGGAUUAGAUACCCCGGUAGUCCCUGUCUCUUAUAC
rnacentral:rRNA from 1 species